GGAGAGAUGGCCGAGCGGUUGAUGGCACCGGUCUUGAAAACCGGCAUGGGUGAAAAUCCAUCGGGGGUUCAAAUCCCUCUCUCUCCGCCA
rnacentral:tRNA from 1 species